UCCUGGCUCAGGACGAACGCUGGCGGCGUGCUUAACACAUGCAAGUCGAACGGUGAACCAGGGCUUGCCCUGGGAUCAGUGGCGAACGGGUGAGUAACACGUGACCAACCUGCCCCUUGCUCUGGGAUAACCCCGGGAAACCGGAGCUAAUACCGGAUACGAGAUCGUGCGGCAUCACACGGUCUGGAAAGUUUUUCGGCAAGGGAUGGGGUCGCGGCCUAUCAGCUUGUUGGUGGGGUAAUGGCCUACCAAGGCGACGACGGGUAGCCGGCCUGAGAGGGCGACCGGCCACACUGGGACUGAGACACGGCCCAGACUCCUACGGGAGGCAGCAGUGGGGAAUAUUGCGCAAUGGGCGAAAGCCUGACGCAGCGACGCCGCGUGAGGGAUGACGGCCUUCGGGUUGUAAACCUCUUUCAGCAGGGAAGAAGCGAAAGUGACGGUACCUGCAGAAGAAGCACCGGCUAACUACGUGCCAGCAGCCGCGGUAAUACGUAGGGUGCAAGCGUUGUCCGGAAUUAUUGGGCGUAAAGAGUUCGUAGGCGGUCUGUCGCGUCGGAAGUGAAAACCCGGAGCUCAACUCCGGGCCUGCUUUCGAUACGGGCAGACUUGAGUGUUGCAGGGGAGACUGGAAUUCCUGGUGUAGCGGUGAAAUGCGCAGAUAUCAGGAGGAACACCGGUGGCGAAGGCGGGUCUCUGGGCCGAUACUGACGCUGAGGAGCGAAAGCGUGGGGAGCGAACAGGAUUAGAUACCCUGGUAGUCCACGCCGUAAACGUUGGGCGCUAGGUGUGGGGUCCCUUCCACGGGUUCCGUGCCGUAGCUAACGCAUUAAGCGCCCCGCCUGGGGAGUACGGCCGCAAGGCUAAAACUCAAAGGAAUUGACGG
rnacentral:rRNA from 1 species